rnacentral:rRNA from 1 species
GACGAACGCUGGCGGCGUGCUUAACACAUGCAAGUCGAACGGAAAGGCCUUGCUUUUGUGGGGUGCUCGAGUGGCGAACGGGUGAGUAACACGUGAGUAACCUGCCCUUGACUUUGGGAUAACUUCAGGAAACUGGGGCUAAUACCGGAUAGGAGCUCCUGCUGCAUGGUGGGGGUUGGAAAGUUUCGGCGGUUGGGGAUGGACUCGCGGCUUAUCGGCUUGUUGGUGGGGUAGUGGCUUACCAAGGCUUUGACGGGUAGCCGGCCUGGGAGGGUGACCGGCGACAUUGGGACUGAGGGACGGCCCAGACGCCUACGGGAGGCAGCGGUGGGGAAUAUUGCACAAUGGGCGGAAGCCUGAUGCAGCAGCGCCGCGUGCGGGAUGACGGCCUUCGGGUUGUAAACCGCUUUCGCCUGUGACGAAGCGUGAGUGACGGUAAUGGGUAAAGAAGCACCGGCUAACUACGUG